CAGUGCAAUAGUAAUGUCAAAGC
rnacentral:miRNA from 1 species